UACGUAGGGUGCAAGCGUUGUCCGGAAUUAUUGGGCGUAAAGAGCUUGUAGGCGGUUUGUCGCGUCUGCUGUGAAAUUUCGGGGCUCAACCCCGAACUUGCAGUGGGUACGGGCAGACUAGAGUGUGGUAGGGGAGACUGGAAUUCCAGGUGUAGCGGUGAAAUGCGUAGAUAUCUGGAGGAACACCGGUGGCGAAGGCGGCAUCCUGGACCAAUUCUGACACUGAGGAGCGAAAGCCAGGGGAGCAAACGGG
rnacentral:rRNA from 1 species